rnacentral:rRNA from 1 species
AAACUGAUCUUCCCGUGAAGAAGCGGGAAUAUACCUAUAAGACGAGAAGACCCCNUGGAGCUUUAAAUCCAACAGCACCUAUUACCCAUAUAUCUUUAUAUUUUUUUAGCAAAUGCUCGUUCGGUUUUAGGUUGGGGUGACCAUGGAGUAAAAAAUAACCUCCACGAAAAAAGGCAUAAAACCCUUAUCAAAGAGCCACAUCUCUAUGAAUUAGUAAACUAAUUUCUGAUGAUCCGAUAUUCGAUCAACGAACCAAGUUACCCUGGGGAUAACAGCGCAAUCCGCCUUAAGAGCCCCUA